CUUUUAUAGAAUACCACCCUGCAUCCCGCUGCUGGCUUGGCUCUGAAGCUAAGCAGGGUUGGUCAUGGUCGGUCCCUGGAUGGGAGACCAGAUGCUGCAGGAAGUGCUGUUGGAGG
rnacentral:rRNA from 1 species